rnacentral:rRNA from 1 species
UACGGGGGGGGCAAGCGUUGUUCGGAAUUACUGGGCGUAAAGGGCGCGUAGGCGGCCUUCUAAGUCGGACGUGAAAUCCCUCGGCUUAACCGAGGAACUGCGUCCGAUACUGAAAGGCUUGAAUCCGGGAGAGGGAUGUGGAAUUCCAGGUGUAGCGGUGAAAUGCGUAGAUAUCUGGAGGAACACCGGUGGCGAAGGCGGUUCUCUGGGCAUGUCCUGACGCUGAGGAGCGAAAGUGUGGGGAGCGAACAGG